GAUGAACGCUGGCGGCGUGCCUAAUACAUGCAAGUCGAGCGAACAGAUGAGGAGCUUGCUCCUCUGACGUUAGCGGCGGACGGGUGAGUAACACGUGGAUAACCUACCUAUAAGACUGGGAUAACUUCGGGAAACCGGAGCUAAUACCGGAUAAUAUAUUGAACCGCAUGGUUCAAUAGUGAAAGACGGUUUUGCUGUCACUUAUAGAUGGAUCCGCGCCGCAUUAGCUAGUUGGUAAGGUAACGGCUUACCAAGGCAACGAUGGGUAGCCGACAUGAGAGGAUGAGCGGCCACAUUGGAACGUCGACACGGUGCAGAGUCUAACGGGAGGCGGAAGUGGGGAAUAUUGGAGAAUGGGCGCAAGACUGAACAAGCAGUACAGAGUGCGUAAAGAAGGACUUAGGGUUGUAAAGCCCUUUUGUUGGGAAAAAAAAGAAGCAGGUUAAUACCCAGGUGUUCUGACGGUACCAAAAGAAUAAGCACGGGCUAACUUAGUA
rnacentral:rRNA from 1 species